rnacentral:rRNA from 1 species
UGCGUAGGCGGGCUAAUAAGUCAGUGGUGAAAUCUUCCGGCUCAACCGGGAACCUGCCAUUGAUACUGUUAGUCUUGAGUUCGGCUGAGGUAGGCGGAAUGUGUAAUGUAGCGGUGAAAUGCUUAGAUAUUACACAGAACACCAAUUGCGUAGGCAGCUUACUAGACCGACACUGACGCUGAGGCACGAAAGCGUGGGGAGCGAACAGGAUUAGAUACCCUGGUAGCCC